rnacentral:rRNA from 6 species
ACCCUUUAAUGUUUGAUGUUCUAACGUGGACCCGUAAUCCGGGUUGCGGACAGUGUCUGGUGGGUAGUUUGACUGGGGCGGUCUCCUCCUAAAGAGUAACGGAGGAGCACGAAGGUUGGCUAAUCCUGGUCGGACAUCAGGAGGUUAGUGCAAUGGCAUAAGCCAGCUUGACUGCGAGCGUGACGGCGCGAGCAGGUGCGAAAGCAGGUCAUAGUGAUCCGGUGGUUCUGAAUGGAAGGGCCAUCGCUCAACGGAUAAAAGGUACUCCGGGGAUAACAGGCUGAUACCGCCCAAGAGUUCAUAUCGACGGCGGUGUUUGGCACCUCGAUGUCGGCUCAUCACAUCCUGGGGCUGAAGUAGGUCCCAAGGGUAUGGCUGUUCGCCAUUUAAAGUGGUACGCGAGCUGGGUUUAGAACGUCGUGAGACAGUUCGGUCCCUAUCUGCCGUGGGCGCUGGAGAACUGAGGGGGGCUGCUCCUAGUACGAGAGGACCGGAGUGGACGCAUCACUGGUGUUCGGGUUGUCAUGCCAAUGGCACUGCCCGGUAGCUAAAUGCGGAAGAGAUAAGUGCUGAAAGCAUCUAAGCACGAAACUUGCCCCGAGAUGAGUUCUCCCUGAGACUUAGAGUCUCCUGAAGGAACGUUGAAGACGACGACGUUGAUAGGCCGGGUGUGUAAGCGCAGCGAUGCGUUGAGCUAACCGGUACUAAUGAACCGUGAGGCUUAACCUUACA